GCUCAGAAACUUAAAGGAAGUUGACGGGGCCCGCACAAGCGGUGGAGUAUGUGGUUUAAUUCGAUGCAACGCGAAGAACCUUACCUGGUCUUGACAUCCCGGAGACCCUUAGGAACUAGGGGUGCUUCCAUCUGGAAGAAUCUGGAGACAGGUGCUGCAUGGCUGUCGUCAGCUCGUGUCGUGAGAUGUUGGGUUAAGUCCCGCAACGAGCGCAACCCUUGCCUUUAGUUGCCAGCAGUUCGGCUGGGCACUCUAAAGGGACUGCCGGUGUUAAACCGGAGGAAGGUGGGGAUGACGUCAAGUCCUCAUGGCCUUUAUGACCAGGGCUACACACGUACUACAAUGGCCGAUACAAAGGGCAGCGACACUGCGAGGUGAAGCCAAUCCCGUAAAAUCGGUCUCAGUCCGGAUUGGAGUCUGCAACUCGACUCCAUGAAGUUGGAAUCGCUAGUAAUCGUGGAUCAGCAUGCCACGGUGAAUACGUUCCCGGGCCUU
rnacentral:rRNA from 1 species